rnacentral:rRNA from 1 species
GGUGAACGCUGGCGGCGUGCUUAACACAUGCCAGUCGAACGGAGAGGCCCUGCUUUUUUGUUGUGCUCGAGUGGCGAACGGGUGAGUAACACGUGAGUAACCUGCCCUUGACUUUGUGAUAACUUCAGGAAACUGGGGCUAAUACCGGAUAGGAGCUCCUGCUGCAUGGUGUGGGUUGGAAAGUUUAGGCGGUUGGGGAUGUACUCGCGGCUGAUCAGCUUGUUGGUGGGGUAGUGGCUUACCAAGGCUUUGAUGGGUAGCCGGCCUGAGAGGGUGAGCGGGCACAUUGGGAUUGGGAUACGGCCCAGACUCAUACGGGAGGCAGCAGUGGGGGAUAUUGAACAAUGGGAGGAAGCCUAAUGCAGCAACACCGAGUGCGGGAUGACGGCAUUCGGGUUGUAAACCGCUUUCGCCUGUGACGAAGCGAGAGUGACGGUAAUGGGUAAAGAAGCACCGGCUAACUACGUG